AACGAACGCUGGCGGCAUGCCUAACACAUGCAAGUCGAACGAGACCUUCGGGUCUAGUGGCGCACGGGUGCGUAACACGUGGGAAUUUGCCUCGGGGUAUGGAAUAACUCAGGGAAAACUUGAGCUAAUACCAUAUAAUGUCUUCGGACCAAAGAUUUAUCGCCCUGAGAUAAGCCCGCGUAGGAUUAGCUAGUUGGUGGGGUAAAGGCUCACCAAGGCGACGAUCCUUAGCUGGUCUGAGAGGAUGAUCAGCCACACUGGGACUGAGACACGGCCCAGACUCCUACGGGAGGCAGCAGUGGGAAUAUUGGACAAUGGGCGAAAGCCUGAUCCAGCAAUGCCGCGUGAGUGAUGAAGGGCCUUCGGGUUGGU
rnacentral:rRNA from 1 species